UACGUAGGGUCCAAGCGUUGUUCGGAUUUACUGGGCGUAAAGGGCGCGUAGGCGGCGCGGUAAGUCACUUGUGAAAUCUCUGAGCUUAACUCAGAACGGCCAAGUGAUACUGCAGUGCUAGAGUGCGGAAGGGGCAAUCGGAAUUCUUGGUGUAGCGGUGAAAUGCGUAGAUAUCAAGAGGAACACCUGAGGUGAAGACGGGUUGCUGGGCCGACACUGACGCUGAGUGCGCGAAAGCCAGGGGAGCAAACGGG
rnacentral:rRNA from 1 species